AAUGUUCAGUUUUCUGCUGGGUUUUCGUAAAUAAAAAUAGAUCUAUGAGCUUUCAAGAAAAAAAAAUGGUUUUCUACCCCUCGUGGUAGCGCUCGUUUUAAAAGAAAAGAGUUUUCAUAUUCGAUACAGUUUUCAAAUAUUUUUCUACCCCUCGUGGUAGCGUUUUAAAAGAUAAAAGUUUUUGUGUGGGAAACAUUUCAAAUGAUAGUUCUGGAUUUAUGUUUAAAAAUUGGAAUACUGUCGCGUUGUGAAUGGUGAAUGUAUGAACGUCUGCAUGUGUAGUUGUGAUUGUGUGUUCAUAUGGUUGUGGUUGUAUUCUGGUUGUACUCUGUUUGUAUAAUUGUACUUGUGCGACGCCGUGCAAAUACAGGGGAAACUCUGUCCGUGUAAACAGUGGAUUCCCUGUAUUUGUGGCGGAUCUGACAUACCCUGGGGUCAGGUGUUUCAAAAAAAAAAAAAUUUCAGUCGUUUCCGCUGUUUUUCCAAACAAAAAGGGACCCCGGGGCGUGACAGAUUAAAGUGGUAUCAGAGCCGGUUACCAGCUAGACAUGUGUGGCGAGUCUCGGCUGAGCCAGGGUCUGGAUGACGGGCUAGCGAGAUGAGUCUCACAUCGCCUGGUGAUCUUGGGCUGUGUGUGUGAUUGGACUGACGAGGACGUCAGGGCCUUAACGGGGGGAGUCUGUGACACCCCAAUAAUCCCACAUCGGAUGGGAAUGGGGUUGUCAUUGGGUUUAUAAGAGACUUAGACACUAGUAAUAAUAACUGGGCUUAAGCAUUUUGGGCCGGUGGUUGGGCCCAACGAGUUAUUGUUGCUAGUGGGCCGGGUCGUUA
rnacentral:lncRNA from 1 species